UGCGCGCUCGUACUUCACAGUCCCGUGAAAAUGUCGUGGCGCAUUUACCGCGUGCGAACUUUACGCGUGUCUCCUACGAAAUUCGUGUUUUAUAAAUUACCCAUAAAUUUCAUUCUGACCGCCGCCCCUUUCCUUAUCUUCCGAUUCAUCACGUUUCAGUCGAUUUUUCGGUAAUUAUCUAUGCACAGAAAUUCUUUCGCGAGGACAACAAUCGAUAAAAACCAGAUGACUUGGAGAGCUGCUAUCUUUUAACAAAUUCCGAGUCUAUGGGAGCAAUUGCUUAAGUCUGCGUUAUCUUCAUAUGCAUUACCAUGUGUGUAGGUAAUUGAAUACGAAAAACGUAUCGAAUGAUAUUCUUUGCGAUUAGUAUAAAGUUGCGAAGGAUUCCAAAGCAACAUAAUAAAUUACGUUAGUAACAACUCAAGUUGUGACGUGAAUUAGGAAUGCAGCCAAAACGUCAGUAAUUAUUAUGUUGUAACAUAAAUUGGAUCGAUUUAAUUGGCUGUAAAUUUAUCCGCGUACGAUAUCCAGACGUUUUAGAGAAUAUGUAAAACAAUCUCUGCGUGCAUGUGGUUAUUUAUCAAUUUUUUUAAACAGACGUUUUAAUCGUGGUCCAUUCUGAUAUUCCCGAAUAUCGCAAUUAAAUAAAUGUCAAAGUAUCUACUAAAUAAAUGCAUGUCUAAAAAAAUAUCUACAGAAGCUCUUUCACGUGCAAAGUACUAUAAAAGUAAAGGGAAAUUAAAGAAAGACGCGAAAGGUGAUUUUAAUUAAGUUGUUUCCAACAUGAAUAUGUAUGGUGUAUCUCUCGAAUAACGGACCCAUGCGUAAAUUAUAGCGGUUAAAUAAACGCUACGCUUCUUAGUCUUGUUGGUUGACAGAUGUUAUAUUUGCUAAACCGAGUACGAUAAUGAUCUAAAAUCAAGCAAUAGGUUUUCAACGAUACCUAAAACUGACAUCGACGAAACGAAAGUAAUCUCGGAGCGAAUUCAGGGACAAAGGUAUAUGGCGAUAUAACCACGUGUCAAAAUAUAUCCAAUGGAAUUGAAAAGUCCCUCGAUCGGGUUCUGCGCGAGAACGUUACGCUCCAGGACGUUAAGUGACCUGUCGCGUAAAUGCGGUAGACGAUGAAACUGUUAUUUGACGAGCUGUAUCAACGUAAACCGCUGGGUCUCUGUCGCCCUCGUUUCCACUGGGAAUCAGACGAGUUUGCUCAGUACAUGCCGAAUGCGCGUACGAUGUUGAUCGUUUGCCAGACUACUAGAAAUUAUCAUCCCCCGAAUAUACCCGGUGCAUAAACGAUCGUCGACUGUACGUGCGUUUACCGAUGUUACGCAUCAGUGAAAAUAGCUUUGGACAGAUCGCUGUGUUUGCUACUCUUAUUUAAACACGCAGCCCUUUUUUGGUUGAUCACACUUCUUUUCUCCUCCAUUUUCCAGCGUCUUCUCGUACUUCUUUCUUCUCAUGCACGACACUUUAACCCUUCGAUACCAAAACUUAAUCUAACCGUGAAAUUUUACAUAGUACGUGUGACCUUUCGAUCUAAUUUCAAUCUGUCGCGAAUCAGUUGCUCUAAGUUUAUCUACAGAAGUGUGAAGAGGAAAAGAAAUGGUAGCAGAUAUACUAAAAACUACAAAUAUAUCAAAAAUAGACUUAAGAAGUCUUAUCUUGUGAAAUCUACCUUAAGAAAUCUUUCACUUACUAUCAUAAGUACUAUACUACUACAAACGCCAAAGAUACACGAGUACUAAAAUACGUCGUCUUUGAAAAGAAGAACCUCGAAGAAAAGUACCAAAAGAGAUAUAUAACGCCAUACAGCGUUAAGCCAUAUAGCGUCUAUAACGCUAUGAGAAGUAGACAUACUCGUGUACCUAUACGUAUUUUUUAAAUCUUAUUUUACCUUCGUGUUACUAUACUAUUAUAUAAUAUUUCUCGAGAAUAAUUUUUUCAUAUCUUUCAUUCUUCGCGAGAUAUUCGCGUAUUCAGUCAAAACAAACAUAUUGUAUAUUAAAUUAUCCUCGCUGAUUCUAAAGAAAUAAACGAAUAGCCACUCAUAUAAUAGCCUAAUAACCCAAUAUCGACGUUCGAUUCGCUAAACACGAAACAUCUCGUGAUCUAUGCAUACAAUGACCAUCGACAGAAAAAUGCUCGUAUACCAUGCACCAACCGAAUCAGCAUGAGCUAUCAACGUGUUCGUACGUCCAUGCCUGCGGUAUCUAUCGCUAGCGUUGGGAUCAAGUGUAUUGCAAGCAAGUUUGAAUCUAAUUGUAAAGUUUCGUAUGUCUUGCGAAUAAGUACUUUGAGAAAAAGGUGAUUUUAAUUGUAAGAUUAGAUGUAACAGGUUCGAAUAUUUUUAAUAAAAGUAGCUCGAUGAACGAGAGAUGGAUAAGUUACUUUAUAAACGUACAGUGAUGGACAAAAGGAAAUCCGAUAUUAAUACUUGUAUGUAUGUAUGAAUACCAGUAACCUCCGUGUUAGACAUUUUUUAUUACGUUAUCGAUAGUUAUCUAUAUUGGAAUAUUAUAUCUAUUCCUUGGUUCUUUAUCUUUUAAAUUUUUUUUUGUCCGUCACUAUUUAUAGGAAAUGAAAUAUCAUCUUUUACGAGAUAAUGGUCGAAUCUGGUAAUUGCAAACUUUUAUACCGGCAUUGACUUGGAUUCGCGAUUACCUAUUGAACUUGAUCCCAUCGCUAUCCAUCGAACGUGGUCUAAGUUUAGUCGUCGUUCACGCGGUCAUCCGUCACUCGAAAUUGGCAGAUCGCAGUCACGGUGCGAUUCUCGUACGGUCAAUUACGUAAACAGGUCCGACGUGGCAGAACGGCUCGGCGUCGCGACGGAAAUAUUUGGCCGGUAAUAACGCAUAGCGUGCUUCCUCGGGUGGUCACUCGCGUUUUCGGCUCCACCCGUUCUGCGCUGCAGCGAUAACUUUCGCAAUUACACGAAUAUGCACGGAGUGAAAUGCCGCGCGUACCAUGAGAUUUUGAAAUCUAUCCAACCUCGCUACUACCGUUAAACGGAUUGAAAUAAGGGUGGUUUUGUACUUUCGCUCCGUAUCUGACAAUGAAAUAAUAAACGGUGGAUGCGUCGAAUUAGUCGUGAAAUCGUGCAUAAUCUUUUCCUCUGUCCUUUAGAAUUUAUGAAAUUCUCCUACUGGAAAUUGUCGAAUACUUCCGAUACUCGUACGUUUUUAUCGUUGCUAUUUAUAAUCGUUUAAUCCAACUUACUUUCACUCGGUCAUCGUGCGAAUUGAGUUUAAGCGCUUUUGAUAAUCGAUAAUUAAGCAUAUAGAAAUAAAUUAGCAAUUGACAAUCUCUGACGCGUUUACGCAAUUUAAGCAACCAGCGGAAGAUUGUCCACGGAUUGAAGGAGAUCGAUAAGAGACUGUCGACAUCUCGUGCAGCCCCAAAAGUCCCAUAGUAAUCAUGUGGCGUGAGGCGUAGUCGUUAGAAGAGCUUUGUGGUAUAAGCGAAAGCCGGUGGAGGUUCUGAAAUUAGGGGGCAAUUCCCCCAGUGCUUUCGGUUCAACUUCCACUGGGAGGUACCUGGUUCUCUCUGCCCCAGAACCAACCAACAACCACCAGCCGGCAUGCACGCGCCGUCCGAAAGUACCGGCUUCGAGACAGUCGUAUCUAUGCGAAUCGAAUGCUAACGAGCGCAAAAUUGCGACCACGCUCCACGCUCGACCCUGUGACAGAAAUUUUAAACGCCACGUGGGAUAACCAGGCUUACGCGUGGUCGGAAAUUACGGCGAACUCGCUGUAUGGACGAAAUAAGCUUUGCAUUGUAAUCGUUAUUGGCGAUCGUUCCCGUUGUUUGAAGGGGAUCAAGUAAAUAAGUUAUUGGUACAGGUUUUUAGGAAAUAUCGGUGUAAUUUUAGGUUCGCGACAGCAUAGAAAGAAAGUUAUUGCAAAAUUCCAUCAAUCCCAAUUUCAGUGAUUUUAUGAUUAAACUCGCGAAUAACUCGCGAGCGGAAGUUGCUCGAAAUUAAAUUAGAUUUUGUCAAAUUAUACAUUUAAAACACUUUUUACUUCUGAUUUCUCUCUUGAGAUCAUCCAGCAAGAGAUUUUAUGAUAGGUAUUACAUAUCGUUCGUACGCGAUAAGAGUGACACAUUGCCAUGAUCUAAAUAGAUGUGACAUAAAGCUAUCCAGGAAUUCUAGUUUAUGACGUUAUUCGACGAUAAACUGAUUUAAGGCGUCAUGUCGCGUCGAGGCUUUCGUGAUCACACUAAAAAAUAAUUUACGUAAAUAUUUACAUCACGUAUUGGACUUUAAAAUCAUAAUUCGUUUAUUCGCUCGCUUUUACACGUGAUAAUUACAGAACAAUAUACAACAACGUAAUUAUUUUCUAACUUCAGUUUCUAAGUUAAUGAAGUAUUUUUCGUCCGUUUCAGCGUUCAACCUCUACAAAUCUAAGAUCCUUAUUUUGUAGCACUGUAUAAUUUCAUUGCUACGUUGCAACAACAUUCUCCUUCGAAUCAGAGAGCCAUGGCGAUUAAGCGCACGUAGGACGCGAUGACGGUGCAACGAUAACGGCCGAUCAUUCCCUCAUGGUUUUAUGAUUAAUUCUUUAUCGGUCUGUCUUUCCUUUGUCAGCUCGAAAUCGUCGAUUCCUCGUGACUAAAGUUUAUUUUCCGUACUCUCAUUGUCCUCUCCUGUCGUUACCACUGGUACGAGGGCGCACCGUAUAUUUCGCCGUGUGUUUUUGCAUCCAUUUAGAUGGCAAUCGUGGUCAGAGACAUUUUAUUGCGACCGAUCACGAAGUUCAACCCUAUGUUCUCUCCGGUUUUCCGCGUAAUCCUCGCGUUUCCACCGUGUCCUCAAACGCGCACACGCAAAGCUGUAUUAACGACUUCCUUCUACGAUUCUCUCGUGGCAAUGUUGGAUAGGCAGGAAUUGAAGAGCUUACUUCGAAUCCAUCUUAAAUCCGACGAACGCGAAUUCGAGAGGAUCCUCUUGUUACUACGCACCUUUAUUAAGAGUAUUGCUCGAAGGAAUAACGGUGCUUGUAGCAUAUUAUCGACUCGAAUAAAGAGAGAAACGAAAGGGAUAUUGUGCUGUUGAUAAAAUAAUGGAGUGCUGAGACGAUUAACAUAAUUAUGAUUUGUAAUAAUGUACGUAUAAUACAAAGAGACGAAACGAGUGGAAGCUAUUAUUUUCAAGAAUGACUCGUUUAAAAAAGGACGAGUAUCUUUCCUUUUCGCGUGCUUGCCUUACAAAAACUUAUAAAGAAAGAGACGAAACGAGUGGAGGUUAUUAUUUUCAAGAAUGAUUCGUUUGAAAAAGACGAGUAUCUUUCCUUUUCGUGUACUUGCCUUACGAAAACUUAUAAAGAAAGUAAAUUAACCGCAUGUACAUGCCAAUGUGUAGCACCUAAUUGGAAACUAACGAUCGGCAGUUACUCUGGUACCACUAGCAAUCUCUCUAUACGCCGGUACACCCCUGAAUGCGUAAUCAUUCAAGCGCAUGUGAUCCCACUGGUCCUGCUGGAUUCUCGGUGCCCUGAUAGGUGAUUAAAUUUAAAUUUGUCUUAGCUGAACAAACCUCGAUCUAUCAUACGCAGCGAGGACGAGUAAUGAAAAAUGAGUUUGUCAUCCGAGAUAACGGGUAUUUAGGCUGUGUUGUAUGAAAUUCCAGUUUCGCUACUACAGUUUGUCGAUCUAGCUUUUUCCUACGGACUUAAGAUGGCGUUGAAUCGCUUCUCUACGAACCGUGAUUGAGUACCGGAUCGAGAAUAUAUUUUCGUAAUCCUGAAACAGCGCUAUUCCUCGAUUGAUAAACGAUAAUUUCAUUUUUAUUAACUUUUAUGGAAUCUUAUCAUCUAUCUUAUCGUAAAUACGAUUGUAAGGAGUUGCAUAAAGAUUGGGGACAGAUCCAUUAAAAGGGAAAAAAUAUCGUAGGUUCAUUAGAUUCGACCUUGAUUCAGAGUAAUUGGCAGAUAUUCGUUUGAUCGUUGCUUUGCAAGAUUCAACUAUCUUAUCACGAAGUAAGAUAAAGAAAGACAAGAUUGUUCGACAAUGAACGCGAUAACUAUCGUAGGAGACAAAUAGGGAAAAUAAUCUAAUCGACGAAUACAGUAUCCUUGCAGCCAUAAGAGAUUAAUUAGUUAUGUUUUCGACGGAAUAAAGACAGAUCCAAGUGCAAUUUUCCUUGAACAGAUUGUAAUAUCCCUAUCGUGGAAUAAAAGUCAAUAUCCUUUUGUGAAAAUUCUGCUCAUUUCUAAGGAUUAGGAGAGAAAUAAGUCGGGAAGAGUAAAGUACAGGAAACGACAUUAUUAUAUCGGUGAUUCAAAAAAUAAACAACUAAAAGCGACAACUAUCCAGCGAUACAACACGAUAAGUUUGUCGAAAUUCGCUCGUCACCUUCCAAUUUCUUAUCUUUUAUCGAUUAUCCAUUAAACCUACGGUUACAACCAAUUGAAGGAGGUGGUCGAUUUUAUGGUUCCUCCCCUUUGGCCCAUUACAAUACGUCAGGAAUUGAACAGGGCGAUUCGCGCGUUGUGUCCUCGUAAAAUUCCGAGCACAUUUAGCUGGGCGAAUAGCCUUCGUGGAUAAAAUCCACGAGAACGAUGAUCUGUUUGGCCGGUCGAAGGAGGGAAGAAUGGAGUCUAGAGGGAACGAGGAAAAAAUGUAUAGGAAUUAUCGGCGUUGACGUACCAACGAUUUUGCGCGGUCAUUCAAUAACUUCGCCUAGAGGCAACCUGCGUGAUACAUUUUCGGAUGGAGCGGCAUAUGGCGUACCAACUGCUCUCUGUACGAGACGAUAAGAUAACGGUCGUGCAUUCGUUCUUAUCAAAGAUGUCUAUAUUGAACCGUGAGAUAAAGCACGGCUUUUUUCUGGGGUUCACGAUGGGAACCUAUCAAUUUUUCUUUCGCUCCUGCGAUGAUGGGACAGCAAGCAAAUGGAAUUUUGUAUUAUUCGAUGGAAAAUGGGAACGUAUCUCGAAAGGGCACUUCGGAAAUUGUAUUUUGUUUCGAAUGUAAAAGCUGGAAAAGACGCUUUAACGUUAAUAUCGAAAGAUAAAAGACCUUAACAAUAAGAUACAACGUCGAGCAGUCUGAAGUUCAAAUAAAAAAGAUGUCUUUUAGAUAGAUCGAACGCACGAAAGAAUUUCGCAAGCGCCAUUUUCGAACGUUGAAAUAGACAGGCGAAAAUACUCGCUCGACAGCCCGUCCUUUUGAUUUCGCUGAUUGAAAUUCUGAGUAUUGCGACCUGUAUCGAUUGAACGAACGACAUUUUUGGCACGACUCACCGCAACUGUACUAUUUUCAUAUUUAAGAUCUUGGCUUUUCCACGAAUCGUUUAAUCAUCAUCUGCACGCUCUUCGUCGAAUCUACAUAUAGAUUGUAUUUUAGGCUAUAAUCGAAUGGAGGAAAAGGAUUUUUAUUACCGUACUUUUCUAACGCUCUUCUGAUUCGAGUACCUUAAAUAUUGAACGAAGUAGAUAAUAACGUUCCGUUCGAGUUAAAUAUUCAACGUUCAUAGAAAUAUUAAAUAUGAAUAAUUGGCAUGUAUGCGUGGGGCAACGAUCUCACUUCGUCUUUUCUUUUAAAAGUCGUAUCUUUUUCUUCUCUCUUUAGUUCCUCAAUGUCAAAAAAAGGGGAAGUGGUGUAAAUAUUUGAACGUUCUCCUCCGUUCGUUCUCUUUACAUUUUCUUCUUAGCUUCUCUGCGUCGCAAAAAGAAAGGAAUUAGGUUAAAUAUUUGGAAGAUAAAAUUUAUUUACAUUCUAUAUCGUUAACGGAGGUUACAUUAUUAACUCUUUCCGCAAGGGCAAAUCUGCACGACAAAAUGACGAAGAAAUAAAAUAAGUUAUCUGUUGAGAAAGUUACAUUGCAUUAUAGAGGGUUGAUACACCUGUACUUACACGUGUCUUUCAGAAAAUCGUUUACAAAAUCGUUUCAGAAACUCAUCGUCAACUAAAAUCUUGUAAAAAGGAAGAUAAACAAAGGUGACACGAAACGUUAUCUUUAUUCAGCGAUUCGUUUCGUAGGAGGCGGUAUGAAUAACAAGGCAGGGAAAAUGUGGAGAAUCGUGAUCCCACGUGAGAUCUCUGGUGGAAGCGUGUCCUGGUCGAGAUGUAAAAAUAUUUCUUGAUAACAUUGUCGUGACGGAAUUUUUCGCUCGAUUGCGGUUCUCCGCUUCGCGAUUUCGCGGCUCGUCGCUACGACAACGACGACAACGACAACGACAACGACGAACGGGAAUACCAUUACCGGCGAAUAAAGAACCGAGGCUAGACGUUAUAACAGCAUCGCUGGAGCUGCGCCUCCGGUUCCUUCGAGGGCUCUCCCGGGAACUCUAACGAUGUUGCGCAGCGAAAAAGAAAUUCGAGCGGUUCCGGUGCUGAUAUACACGUAUACGAAGAACCUUCGCAGAAAUACCGAGCCAAAUAUGCUUUUAAGAACGCAGAUGCUCUUGCAUAGCGGGGAUAUUCUUAAUGCCUUUGUAAACCCGUCUCUCCCGUUCACGUGUCCAUUUUUAUUCUUCACCCUUACCUUCUUUCUUUCGCUUUCUCGAUCUUCCGCUGAGUUAUCUCGUUCUUAGACGUUGGCACUCGUUGUCUCUGAAGAACUUCGCUACUUCGAUCCUUUAGUUUAAUAGACAAAAUUUCCUUACUAAGAUAUAUCUUCUUCGUUUGUGAUUCGCUUUUACGUUAUAUAUAAUAUAACAUUAAUUAGUAUCAUUAUCAAACGUAUACGAACGGAGAAAUAGAUUCAGCAAAUUUGUUCAAUCGAUUACUCCGUAACUUCUUUGAUUCUCAAGUGCGCUAUGUGAAAACCAUUCAAUCUUAAAUAGCUUAAUGAUAUCUUCCUCGUGUUUUUUGUUCGUUUACAUUUUGAAGCAAUCGACGAUGAAAGUAACGAUAAUUCGAUAAGGUUGAAACGUUAUUAUGAAAAGUGAUGUACGCGUCACCGGUGAACAUGGUGAGAAGAACAGUUACGACACGGUUGACAACGUGGCAAGAUAAUCGAAUAACCGGUGCACCGUAGCACCCUUGUUCUCGGUGCAACUGAGCUCACCUGUGUACGUGCCAGACUUUCUUCUAAAGAGCGAGACAGAGGGAAGGGAGGGGAGAGAGAGAGAGAGAGAGAGAGAAGUUUCAUGGCAAUUAUCUGCCCGCGUCUUAACUCGCGGUAUUACACUUUCAGCUCUAGCGACGCUGCUUUCCUCGAGGAGGCGGUCUUUUCCGGUAUGCGCCAACUAUGAGUUGCAUCGCGAUGCGAACACCAAGUAAUUCAUUCGUACAAAUUUCGAUUACGAGAGGGUGAAAUGUUCGUAGUUGGUGUCAACACGAAAAGAACAAUUUCGCUGCGAUGUUUAAUACACAUGUUGUUCUAGGUUCCACUAGCUAUGUAACGAGAAGUAAAAAAUCAAAUUGUAAGAUAUACGGUAGGCUACUUUCGAAAUAAGAACAUAAUCCCCUUUAAAAAUUUCUCCGUUAUCGCGGAAGAUAUUCCCUCUUCUAUAAUUAGCCAGCCAAUGCUCAUUAUUUCUCAUGCAUGACGCUUCGUUAUUUUCGAACUAAUUAAAAUUCGCUGUUGUUGCGCGGCAAAUUCUCCAUUAUCAGGAAUACAGUUUCAUUCGCAUCGAACCCCGUUCCGGAAUACGCGCGAGACGCGUAAGCGCGCGGCCGUAGUCCCGUUCGAUUUUAAUUUCCUGACUACUUUUUAACGACUAUGUACAGAGUAAAAGAGUAAAAAAAAGAGUAGAACAAAAAGGGAAUAUACUCGCGAGGCGAAGAUUACUGUUGAUAUAUUCGAUCGCUGGUUUAUUGCAUUUCUGUAAAUUUGGUAAAUAACUCAGUAUUAAUAUUGCUCAUAAUAACUCAGUAUUAAGCCUUAUGGACCUUUUAACUCUUGAAAGGCGGUUGUACCAAACGACUUGGUAGGAAUGAGAAUGACACGUCACGGCGUGUCGUGCGUGCUGGAGUAUCGCGCCGCUGGCUCAUAUUACGUUAUAUUACGAUACUGAUUAUCAAAACGUUAGUCCCGACGUGUUUGAAUGGAAAUUUCCAGCGCCAGAGUUAUCAAUGAUCAAACAUCGAUAAAAGUCGACUCGAGGUACGAUGAGCUCGUCGUUCAUACAGCAGAGAAACGACGAGUAUAAAUCUCCUUCGGACGUAGAAGGUUGCUUUUACGUAGGUGCGAAUUAUCGAAUUGCCUAUGAACAUAAAACGAAAAAUGGUGGAAAACGGAGCUUUUAUCAGGGAGAAAUUACAGGUUGUCUCACUUGACCAUAUAGUAGCUUCUAACUACUUUUGGAAUGUGAAAGAUUAGUAAUAUCAACUGUUUUCAAGCAAUUAUUCUAACGUUGCAAAUUGCAAAAGAUUUAAGUUUGAUGCUUCGCGUGAUUUUCAUCCUUUUUCGCUUGACGGAAACAAUAUUUUCAAAAACAUAAUAAUAUCUUUUUAAACGAGUGUGGAGAGAAAUUUUUCAGUAUAUCCUGCACCUAAUGAAAAUGAAUAUUCUUGUAUCUUGAUAAUUUAUAGUCCAAUGCGACAAGAUUCUGAUCAAUUUGGAUAAAAGAUGUUAUUAUUCAUAAUGGAAAGAGGAUAAUGAAUAUUCCCAUUAUAAGGAUGGAAAGUUAUAAAAUUUAUCGCAGAAUGUGACAGUUUCAAUCGUUGGGAAGAUUGCAUGUGAAUUGCAUUGUUCAUUAAUGUGCUCCAAUUCAAGCGGAAACAUACGGCGAUGAAUAGUCAGCAUUCAUUUCUGAGUUAUUUCGAAAAUUAAGGUGCAUGGAUGGUAUCCUGGGUAUAAUGGCGUCGUUAAAAUUUUAUCGUCGCUUGUCUUUUACGGGGGAAUCGGUUUAAGGCUACUGGGAAUUAGAGAAGUGUACGAGGGGUGUUAAUUAAAGCGGUGAAAGAUGUAAGAGGAAAUAUUAUGUCGUGAUGUAAUGCUUCACUUAUGACGAUGUAAGUAACCUGGAAUUGUAUUAAAAUCAUGAAAUCAGCGAAAUCAUAGUGGUAAGUCAACUGAACAUUUUAAUUGCAAACAACACGAUAUCGAGCAACAUAUUUAUGCAAUAGAAAUGUCAGUAUAUAAUAGAGCAAUUCGAUAAUAGACGUUUAAGAAAUCUUAUCAACUAAUAGACGUUAAGUAUAUACAUAUAAGUUGAAUGCAUUAUAUGCCUGGUUAUAAAAUAUAUCUAAAUUGAACGAGAAAUUAAAAAGAGCAGAAUACGUAUCUCUGGAAGAAGAUAACUUUACAGAUUUUCUCGACGACUGUAACUAACUAUAGAAAGUUCUGCGACUAAAAGUAUAUGUUACGACCUCUCAACCAGGUGACGAUCAGUCAUGUUGUAACUAUUCGGUUGAGGUCGCAAACCCUGAACGAUAUUAACGUUCAAGGUGGAGGGAAAUUAAAGGAUUUCUGUAUUUAUAGAUUUUAUUUGAAGUGUUUAGUAUAAACGUAAGAGUAUGGAACGUAAGUAAUAGAGUUUAAAUAUGCGACGAGUGCGUGAUGAGUCUUUUUCUCUCGAAGCGCCUGGUGUUUAUAUUUUAAAUGUCAGUGUAGAGGGUGUGUUGUCGUCAACGUUUCCUGUGAAGUAGGAGUCUGUGUCUGUUCAGUCCUGUGACUGUCGAACUGUCGUUGGCGUCUCGCAUGUGGUGCGUUCUGUACCUACCUGGCCGAGGAUGCGGAGCAUAACGUCUAGUUAACGACAUCGUCCUUGGUCUGUUGUCGAGUUCUCAUCUGGUCGAAGUUGACACGUCGUUUGCUGUUGAGCGGAUCCGUCGAGCGCUUAACACUAGAUUUACGGGACCUGUCAAUUUAACGGAUUUCAAACUUCGAAAUGAAAUACCAUUUUGCAUCGUAAAUUAAUCAUUUCAUCCAAAGAAUUUAUACACACAAUUAUUUUAUGUUUGGUUGUGUAACUAGUGCUUUCGAAUUGAUAAUUAACAGACACAUAAUGGAGCACAUAAAAGAUUGCGCUGAAACCGAGGCGCAUCGAGUUUUGAAAAAAGACAUGACGUAGUUUUCUAGGAAUUCUAUAUGCCCGGGGCGCAUAUGAAGCGAGAUCAUUGAAAGCUUCCGAAAGAUUACAAACAGAUAAAUUUGCGCUGAUAUCCGAAAUAUGGAACAGGCUUGUUAUAAGCCUUAUGAAAAUAUCUCAAUAGAUGAAUAAUUAUUUCCAACGAAAGCGCGAUGCAGGUUUACGCAAUAUAUGUCGAAUAAGCCUCAUAAAUUUGGCAUUAAGUUUUGGUUAGCAGUUGAGUCCAAACAAAAUAUAUUUUGAAUGGUAUCCCUUAUAUGGGGAAAGAUGAAACUCGAUGCUCAAAAUCGUUGGACGAGUUUGUAACAUUAAAAUUAGCCGAACCAUAUUUAAACGAGGCAGAAAUAUAACGACAGAUAAUUUCUUUACAAGCAUCCCGCUAUCUAAAAAAUUACUUGCAGAAAAAACAGCCUUGGUAAAAAAAGGACAAAAUGACUUUGUUUUUCUCACAUUUAUGUAAAUCAGAAAACUGCACGCUUACUGUGUAUAAAAGUAAACCUAACGUAAAAGUCCUCCCUCUAAACACCAAACAUACAGGUGUACAAGUAGAAGACAAUUGUAAACGUGUUCCAGAAAUCAUUACUUUUUAUAAUACAACAAAGUUUGGCGUGGAUCGUUGUUGUGGUGUGUCGUUGACCAGGUGGCGCGCAAAUAUAGUGUGAAAGCAGGGAGUUUCCGAUGGCCCCUUUAAGCUUUUUUCAAUAUUUUAGAUUUGGCAGCGAUAAACGCGUGGAUAUUAUGUAAAGAGUACACCGGAUCGAAAAUAUCCAGAAAGCAGUUUAUAUUUUGUUUAGCCGAGGAAUUAGCUGGAGAAAACAAGAAGAACAUUUACCAAAGAUCAGAUGCUUCAUUUCUGUCAGCUUCAACGUCAGAAGUGCGAAGAAGUUGUGGGCAAGUGGGUUACUGCAAAAAGAAAAUAGAAGCAAUAAUUGUUGUAUAUAUUGCAAAAAGAUCGUAUGCGGAAAAUGCACAAACAAAAUUCAGUAUAUUUGUAAAAAAUGUGCUCAAUAAAUAUGAUUACCCUAUACCGUUAA